AGAAUCAACGCUGGCGGCGUGCUUAACACAUGCAAGUCGAGCGGAAAGGCCCUUCGGGGUACUCGAGCGGCGAACGGGUGAGUAACACGUGAGCAACCUGCCCUUAGCUUCGGGAUAGCUCCGGGAAACCGGAAUUAAUACCGAAUAUGACUGCGGCUGACAUCAGCCACGGUGGAAAGUUUUUCGGCUAGGGAUGGACUCGCGGCCUAUCAGCUAGUUGGUGAGGUAACGGCCCACCAAGGCGACGACGGGUAGCCGGCCUGAGAGGGCAACGGCCAACGACUGGACUGAGACACGGCCCAGACUCCUACGGGAGCAGCAGUGGGAAUAUUGCGCAAUGGGCGAAAAGCCUGACGCAGCGACGCCGCGUGGGGGAUGAAGGCCUUCGGUGUAAACCCUUCAGCAGGACGAAGCGAAAGUGACGGUACCUGCAGAAGAAGCGCCGGCUAACUACGUGCCAGCAGCCGC
rnacentral:rRNA from 1 species